AAGAGAAGGUAAAUGAGAAUACAGACCUCAACCCCCAGCCUUUGUGGUGUGUCCAGUAGUUUAGAGAGGAUACACUGAUGGAGCACUUGUUGGGCUCUUCAGGAUCCAAAAGUCAUUUCCGACAUCUUCCUGGUGGAGCUUUCGGACAGGAUCAGGGAUGGCAAAAAAGAUGACGGUGGGCGGGGGAGAAAGUUUCUUGCCAUUCACCACUGCAGGCUGUGGUGUUACUGGAUGGUCUCCUGAUGUUCCCUCUGACUUAGCCUGCACUUUCAGGAGGGGUGAAGGGCUCACAUUGCAUGCUAACCCUUCAUCUCUACUUGAUUUUUUUGUAUAUGCUGGUUUUAACCCUUAAAGCUCUUGGGACCAUGCUACCCCAAAGGCCACCUUUUUCCACCUGAACCUGCUGGUUGCCAAGAUCUUCACUGGGGACUAUUCAAAUUAAAUACUAAUACUUAGUGUUACAGGUGGGAUUCAAAUUAAAUACUAAUAAUUAAUAUUAAUUUAUUAAUAGGCACUUAGUUAUAUUUGCAAAAGAUAACCAUUUGUUUCUUGACUUGGAAAAGUUCUUCCCUACAGAAAAUGACAGAAUUAUGGCCACAAAACAAAACAACACUUGAAGGAUAUAGUCCUUCAGCUUGUAAAUCAAUGGAACUUAUUUCUAACUAAGUAUAUUAAGGAUUGAGAUGAAAAAUGCCACAUCUGUCUAUAGAUACCAAAAUAAGCCCAGUUCCCAUGAGAAACAAUGGGAAUUUGUAAAUAUUAAAACAGUUUCCGAGUCAGAGCUAAAGAGAACCAUUUGCUCCUACUCCCUCUUUUGGCCAAAAUGUUCCUGCAUGUAUAAUUUUUCUCAUUUAUGCAGCCUUCUGUCAGCAUUUAACAUGGCUGGCUUCACCAGAGUGUUCCUGAUGCUAACACAGUAUUUCCAAAAGAGCUUUAAAGGGGGGAAAAGUGAUAUAUUUCCUGUCAUUUAUCAAGAUAAAUUUGUUUUGUUGCUACGUGGGAAAGGCUUUAUCCAUUUCUAUGAAGGUGAAGAAAAAGUGCCCUUUUUAUAUAUAAGGAUUAAAUAGUGGCUUUCUUUAGUAGAUUUUUCUUUGCUUUUCUUCACUAUAUAUUACUUAUUAAACAAUCUAUUUUAGUAUAGACUUUCAAUAUGAUGAAAUAGGAGUGGAAUUUCGGUAAUUUGAUGUCAUGUAUAGCUUUGCUAUUAAGAAUAUUUAUUUAUUGUGUUUAUAUUCUAGCUUUUGAGUUAUAAACUCCAAAAAGAAGAAGACAAGAGCUAACAUAUUUGAAUAAUUUAUUUGACAUUUUUCAAUACAUGGCCAAGGACUAGGUUUACCAUACCUGAAAGAACAUAGCAUGCAAGAUUUUCAUCAAAUGUUGUUGCCAUGCCUUCUGCAAGCAGUUCAGACUUUCCAUUAAGAAAAUAAAUAUUUGCCGCAUGAAGCACUGAUCACAUUGGGAAUCUCUAUGGCCCCAACCAGCAAUCUCCCGGAAUGUUGAGCGAGAGCAUGCAGACUCACAACGUGAUGGAUGCACUCCAAGGUCCCAGUUGUGAACUUCUGCACUGACCACAUAUGCUGAAAUUGUGCUUCUAAUGAAGUGUUCUCCAAAAGAAGAACUGAUCAGACUUGAAUUUAGCAGUGUAGACCAUUGACUCUGCCUACUUUCCUAGUAAAGGCUGAUUUUAAAGAGGCAUCCAAUGCUCCGGAACAUAAAAAUAAAAAUAAAAAUCAUGGAGAGGAUUUGCCCAUUAUUGCAGUAGCCUGAAGAAUACAUGACACUGAGAAUCUGUCAAUUGGCUACCACAUGAUAAAGGAACAAAGGAAUCAGACCAUUGGCCAAUUCAGUAUUGUCUAUACUGAUUGGCAGUGGCUCUCCAAGGUUUCAGCAGAAGUCUUUCCCAGUCCUACAUAGAGAUGCCAGAGGAUGAACCUGGGACCUUCA